UUUUUUCCAGUUUUUUUUUUCUUCUUCUUUUUUCUGUGGACUUCUCAGCUUCGAUUCGCCCUCCUCUCUCGCACAGAAGCCGUGUGUUUCGCUGUGGACCAGAACCGAGAACUGAUUUGCGUGAAAAUAAGAAGACCACACAUUGUUGACCGGCUCUAUGUUGCGCGCUCUCUUGUCAUUGGAGCCGCGCACUUGAUGGGAAUACAGACACCAAGUACUGUUGCAGGGACUAUGUUUUCCAAAUCAGGUAGGAAUGGACUGGGCUGUGGAUUCUGGAAGCUAGUAAAGGCUGUCUGCAUGGAACUCUGUCUUUAAAGGAGCGGGAAACACUUAUGGACACCUGUGUGGCUCAACAUAAGUACUCUGAGGCACGUCAUCAGUGGGUUCUUUUUCUUUCCUCCCUCGCCUGUCUGUUUCGGGUCUGCUAGGCUGCAGUGUCUGCUCCGAACCCUGACACCGGUUGACAAAACUGAGUGAUUGUUCAUUACAUUCAAGGACAUCGACACAGCAAGAGAGC